rnacentral:sRNA from 1 species
UGUGUGUGAGGACUUUGAAGGGGCCAGGAGGGAGCCAUGGAUCUGCUGCGGGAGCUGAAGGCCAUGCCUAUCACGCUGCACCUGCUCCAGUCCACCCGAGUCGGGAUGUCUGUCAACGCCCUUCGGAAGCAGAGCUCGGACGAGGAGGUCAUUGCACUGGCCAAGUCCCUCAUCAAGUCCUGGAAGAAGCUCCUGGAUGCUUCCGAUGCCAAAGCCAGGGAGCGGGGGAGGGGCACGCCUCUGCCCACGUCCUCGAGGGAUGCCUCAGAGGCCCCGGAUCCCAGCCGCAAGAGGCC